rnacentral:rRNA from 1 species
GACAGAGGGGGCAAGCGUUGCUCGGAAUCACUGGGCGUAAAGGGCGCGUAGGCGGGAUGGCAAGUUAGUCGUGAAAUCUCUCGGCUCAACCGAGAAACGUCGGCUGAUACUGCCGUUCUUGAGGGAUGCAGAGGAGACUGGAAUUCCCGGUGUAGCGGUGAAAUGUGUAGAGAUCGGGAGGAACACCGGUGGCGAAGGCGGGUCUCUGGGCAUUUCCUGACGCUGAGGCGCGAAAGCUAGGGUAGCAAACGGG